UACGUAGGGUGCAGGCGUUAAUCGGAAUUACUGGGCGUAAAGCGUGCGCAGGCGGCUCCUUAAGUCAGAUGUGAAAGCCCCGGGCUUAACCUGGGAAUGGCAUUGGUGACUGCACGGCUAGAGUGUGUCAGAGGGGGGUAGAAUUCCACGUGUAGCAGUGAAAUGCGUAGAGAUGUGGAGGAAUACCGAUGGCGAAGGCAGCCCCCUGGGAUAACACUGACGCUCAUGCACGAAAGCGUGGGGAGCAAACAGG
rnacentral:rRNA from 1 species